rnacentral:rRNA from 1 species
GAUGAACGCUGGCGGCGUGCCUAAUACAUGCAAGUCGAACGCUGGAGACCUAGCUUGCUAGAUCGAAGGAGUGGCGAACGGGUGAGUAAUACAUAAGCAACCUACCCACGAAGACUGGGAUAAUCUCUGGAAACGGGGACUAAUACCGGAUAGGUAAUCGGAAGGCAUCUUCUGGUUAUUAAAGGUUAAAAACACUGGUGGAUGGGCUUAUGGCGCAUUAGUUAGUUGGUGAGGUAACGGCCCACCAAGACGAUGAUGCGUAGCCGGCCUGAGAGGGUGAACGGCCACAUUGGGACUGAGACACGGCCCAGACUCCUACGGGAGGCAGCAGUAGGGAAUUUUCGGCAAUGGGGGCAACCCUGACCGAGCAACGCCGCGUGAGUGAAGACGGCCUUCGGGUUGUAAAGCUCUGUUGUAAGGGAAGAACGGUAGAUAGAGAAUAUCUAAGUGACGGUACCUUACCAGAAAGCCACGGCUAACUACGUG